GAUCUUAGUUAUAUAUAUCUCGAGAAAUUAAUCCCUGCAGUUCUCCAUAGUUAAUACAUUGGUGAUUGGAAGGAUUUUCUUAGAUCGUUUUCUGUUGCAAGAAGAAUUCACUCUUCAAUCUAGGAUCUUAUGGUUCUAUCAUUCUGUACCAAUACAUAUACAUCGGUAGUGAAUACACCUCUGAACAAAUUUUGGAAAUCGCAUAUGUUUUAGACAAUCAGAAUCUUGAUAACAUUCAAUAAGUACUGCAAUGAAAAAAGAAAGAAUGUUAAUAAAGAGCAUAUAAUAUAAGAUUAAGAUAGAAAGUUAUGAUGAAAAAUGACUUACUAUCGUUAGCAUUUGUUGCAACAAGAAAUACAGAAAGAAAAAUGAUGAUUUUAUAAACAAACUUAACAAUUUUAAUCAUAUUUGUUUUCCUUAUUUUGCAUUCAUGUUCAAAAAGGAGGUCACUUGAAAACCUCAAAUAUUAUAUGCUCAUGCUGUGAAAACCUCAAAUAAAUAAUUUUUGCACAUACAAAGUUGUAA
rnacentral:lncRNA from 1 species